GCUUCCACUCUAUCUAAUCCUUUUUGUCUUUGCUUACACCAGUGCACCGCUCCUAACCUCUUUAGUUUUUGCUAAGUGUUAUGUGAUGAGAGAGUUGAGGAAGAAAGAGAAUUAAAUGAGAUAUGCCUUUAUUACUGUUUUGUGAUGGAUAAGACCGAAAUACAAACAACGAUUUUAUUUUUUGCUAAAGCACGUGAAUUAACUGGAUGUAAGGAAUGUAAACUUUGUUUACCAAGAAAAUUGUCUUCCGCUGAUCUCUUUGACAAGAUUGUUCAUACGUUUGAAUUGCAAAGUAUACGUAAUAAUUUAAUACUAGCUGUGAACGAAGAAUUUGUUACUCCAAAUAGUACUCUUAUAUUAUCGGAAAAGGAUAAAAUUGCAGUGAUUCCACCACUUAGUGGAGGCCUUUGGCCCGUGCACUUGCUUAGCCAGCAGUUGCUGGCUAUGUGCAUUCCACCGGAAAUCAGAAGAUUUUGGGUGGCAAUCGGGUGGCAAUCGAAUACAUUGCCCGGUGCGACGUUCAGUGUGAAGGCCGGACGGUGUCCUCGCGCGAGGUGUCACUCGACACCCUUGUCACUCGCGCUAUUCUCGGAUAAUAUGGAGGUAUCAAAGAAUUUUGUCAAGUUGCAACAAGAAGAACUAAAUGUUUCAGAAAUUAUGAGAUUAGUGACAUUUCCCAACUGUGGAGCAAUAUCUAGUUUUAUUGGAAUUACUCGAGAUAAUUUUGAAGAUAAAAAGAUUGAUGAGAAAUUUGAUAGAUUGUAUAAGGUAGCUUCUAAUAACUUUUUAACAAGAUUUACUACAUAUUAUGUACCUAGAAUUCUUGCAUAUUGCGGCAGAAUAAGACAAGAUUUAUAUAGAAUCUUAAAUAUUAUUGAAAAGGAAAAUAUUUGUGCCAUACUACUUUUAGCGCAUUUACUCUCUGUAUGUAAUGCUGCAAGAAAAGGAAAAGGAAAAAGGAAAGAUGUAAGUUCAUCAAAAAAAGUAAAUGUGAGGGAGAAUUAUGCUGAUGUCUAUUCUACUAAGUUUUCGAAUUCUUCUGUAAUACAAAUUUGGUCUGUAAUCAAACUAGAAUAUGAAGCUUAUGAAUCAAUGGCUUUAAAAGAAAUGAGUAAUAUCUGUGACAAAAUCCGUUUACAAUGGAACGUAGAAGGCAUUGCUAUAUAUCAUCGUAUUGGAAAUGUACCGAUAUCCAAAGCAAGUGUUGUAAUUGCGGUUUCUUCUCCCCAUAGAGAGGAAUCAUUAAAGGCAGUAGAAUACGCUAUUAACACAUUAAAAGCAUCGGUUCCCAUUUGGAAGAAAGAAAUAUACGAAAUAGGAGAAUCACAAUGGAAACAAAACAAAGAAUGUAAAUGGACAAAUACUUUGAAGAAAGAAGAUGUUCAAACAGCUAUAAAUGAAAUUGUAUCAAAUAAAGAUGUUAUUGAUGCAAAUCUUAUACAAGUUCGAGCGAAUUCGGAAGAAUUAAAUCGUAGAAUAGAAUCAUUCAUCAAAAGAAAACGUCAGCAAGUAAAUACUAUGAAUGUACAAGAAUUUUGCCGCUACAGCGAAAAAAGUAAUGAUAACGAAAAUUCUUGUGCAAGAGUAGAUGCCAUCCUUAUUCGACGCAAGGAUUCCAAAAGCCAUGUAAAAGAAUUGUUGUCUCGACCAAUUAAGGGGGGAGGCACGAACUCCUGACGCUUCUUUGCGCUACCCCGAGCUGCUGCAACGGAAUACUGAAUGGCAUCAGCUCUGAUACCGAAACACGAAGAAGGUCCUUUGGAUGGUAUCUUCUUCUCACAAUCAGAUUCACAGAGUAUCAAAUAUGUGGGGACCUCAAACUAUCGAUCAAUCAAUUUUACGCAAGUCAGUUGCAUUGAAUACGAGUUUUAAUGCUUUAAGUUCUUCCGUUAUAUUGGAUGACAGAAUUUCU
rnacentral:misc_RNA from 1 species